rnacentral:rRNA from 1 species
CGGAUUAGAUACCCGGGGAGACAGCAGAAUGAAGGUCAAGCUGAAGACUUUACCAGACAAGCUGAGAGGAGGUGCAUGGCCGUCGCCAGCUCGUGCCGUGAGGUGUCCUGUUAAGUCAGGUAACGAGCGAGAUCCCUGCCCUUAGUUGCUGCAGUUACUCUCAGGAGUAGCUGGGCUAACUAAGGGGACCGCCACUGCUGAAGUGGAGGAAGGAGGGGGCCACGGCAGGUCAGUAUGCCCCGAAACCCUGGGGCUACACGCGGGCUGCAAUGAUAGAGACAACGGGUUCCGAACUCGAAAGAGGGAGGCAAUCCUUAAACUCUAUCUCAGUUAUGAUUGAGGGCUGCAACUCGCCCUCAUGAAUAUGGAAUCCCUAGUAACCGCGCGUCAUAACCGCGCAGUGAAUACGUCCCUGCUCCUUGCACACACCGCCCGUCGCUUCAUUGAAGUUGGGUUUGUGCGAGGUGACGCCUAAUUGACGUCAUCGAACACGAGUUUAGCAACAAGGGAGAAGUCGUAACAAG